GACGAACGCUGGCGGCGUGCUUAACACAUGCAAGCCGAGCGGUAAGGCCCUUUCGGGGGUACACGAGCGGCGAACGGGUGAGUAACACGUGGGUGACCUGCCCUCAGCUCUGGGAUAAGCCUGGGAAACCGGGUCUAAUACUGGAUAUGACUCCAUGACGCAUGUUGUAGGGGUGGAAAGCCUUGUGCGGCUGAGGAUGGGCCCGCGGCCUAUCAGCUUGUUGGUGGGGUGAGGCCUACCAAGGCGACGACGGUAGCCGGCCUGAGAGGGCGACCGGCCACACUGGGACUGAGACACGGCCCAGACUCCUACGGGAGG
rnacentral:rRNA from 1 species